AGAGUUUGAUUCUGGCUCAGGAUGAACGCUAGCUACAGGCUUAACACAUGCAAGUCGAGGGGCAGCAUUGGAGUAGCAAUACUCAGAUGGCGACCGGCGCACGGGUGAGUAACACGUAUCCAACCUGCCGCUUACUCGGGGAUAGCCUUUCGAAAGAAAGAUUAAUACCCGAUGGUAUAAAGAGUUCGCAUGUUCUCUUUAUUAAAGAAUUUCGGUAAGCGAUGGGGAUGCGUUCCAUUAGAUUGUUGGCGGGGUAACGGCCCACCAAGUCUACGAUGGAUAGGGGUUCUGAGAGGAAGGUCCCCCACAUUGGAACUGAGACACGGUCCAAACUCCUACGGGAGGCAGCAGUGAGGAAUAUUGGUCAAUGGACGAGAGUCUGAACCAGCCAAAGUAGCGUGAAGGAUGACUGCCCUAUGGGUUGUAAACUUCUUUUAUAAGGGAAUAAAGUGAGGGACGUGUCCCUUUUUGUAUGUACCUUAUGAAUAAGGAUCGGCUAACUCCGUGCCAGCCGCCGC
rnacentral:rRNA from 1 species